GUCAUCGGGUAAUAUUCUUGUGAUUAGUUUUGGCUGUGCUGAUGAAACGAUGUUAAAAGAAUGUCAGAACAACCUGUCCUGGGACUCCUACAGGCAGUUUCAAGCUAAGGAAGCCGCGGCAAAACAGGUCUGAACAAACACACUCCAGUGAAAUCUCUGUUUCCCAGGCUUUGCUAAGGCCAUUCUAUGUGUGGAGGGAGAUGCAAUCCUAAGGGCACCCUUUGCCUAUCUGUGCAUUGUCAUUCAUGUUUGUGGAAAUGGCACCUGAGCUAAGAGAAGUGCUGCCAGAGCCUUUUGCAUCCCAUUUCCCUCAUCCCAAGGAAAAGAGUAUGGCCCUGAGGCCACACCCACAUUCGGGUGAUCUCUGCACAAGGAACCAGGAGUUGCUUGGGAGCCACAGGGCCUCCUUUUGCCUGGGACAGGUGACAUUUUUGAGCCGUAUCAGGGGAUGGAAAGUCUACAUGAAUGAGCUUGAAGAGGUGGAACUUGUCCUGUGGAGAGAUAUCCCAUAGAUUUAGAUGCCACUGAAUUCCAUUGCAGCUCAUGGGUCAGCCUUCAUUCAGACAGCAAGAGAAGCAAGCUGGAAUUCAUUGCCCAGCAAACAGACUUUAUAAAUACAGAAAUC